UGUUGACAAGUCUGGAAAUUGGAAAUGUAAAUGAAAAAGGGAGUCCCUGGGGAGAGCGUGGGUAUCCAGCCUCCCCAGCUCAAUCACCUCGUGCCAGGGAGGCUCACGGCUCAGGGACUCAGCAGCAAAACUGGCUGAAACGAUUUCCCAUCCAUCUCUCAGACAAGGGUUCUGAAACGAAAGAAGUACCGCAAAGCCCAGGAGCUGGGUCAGGAAGUCUGAUGGCUCCAGGCAGUGACAGCUUCGUGCUCCAGUGAACUCACAAAAUGCAGUGUAAUUUCCUCUUCCAUUUAACUAUCAGCAGCACGGAAGGAGAGCCACUCUCUCCUGCCCUCCUCUCCCUGCCUUCGUUAGUCAUGACUCAUUAAUUGCCACCGGCGAAUGAGUAUUAUUCUAAUUUUCCAAAUCUAAUUCGCAGAUGUUUUCAGCUAAAGAUCAGGAUAUAGGUUUUUGGCUUAGCUAAUGAAAUAUCUAAUGAAUUUGCAUUAGUGACAAUUACAGACAGGACACCCAUAAGAGAAGGGCCAAUCACAGCCCUCAGCUGAUGCCACUUGCUAACGGCUGCUUUAAGGAGAAAAGUACAGUUCUUGAGGUCCUCUCCCUCACUGACAAUGCCAUUCAGGAGACAGGGGCCAGAAGAAGGGAAUUGAAGAAGAAGCACUUGCCUUUCCUUUAUCUUCUUUUGUGCCGUGGCUCUGCCUUCAAACCAACAGCCGGAAGUGAGAGUUCAACCAACGCCUUUCAAAUGUAAAAAUGGCGUCCUCAAAAUAGGAUCCAUUUAUAAACUUGGACGCAAGUGAGAUUAUCUUAAUCUCAACAAACAGACAAGCAAGCAAAAAAACCUGGACCCUAGAAUAAUGACUCAACCAGGGAAGGCAGAUUAUUUUCCUAAUCAGAUAGGAGUCUAAGGCAAAUAGUCACUAUGGAAAGCUAGUGAGCAUUUAAACUACAGUCUUGGGACCUGCUCAUGCCUGUAAUCCCAGCACUUUGGGAGGCCAAAGAGGGAGGAGCACUUGAAGCUAGGAAUUCAAGACCAGUCUGCGCAACAUAGCAAGACCACUAUCUCUAAAAAACGAAAAAAAAAUUUAGCUUGGCAUGGUGGUACACACCUGUAGUCCCAGCUACAUAGAAGUCUGUGGUGGGAGACUUGCUUGAGCCCAGGAGUUCAAGGCUGCAGUGAACUAUGAUCACUCUCUAGCCUGGGUGACAUAGCAAAGCUUGCUUUAAGAAAAUAAAUAAAUUGAUUAAUUAAACAAAACAUAGUCUUGGAAUUCUUGUUCAGCCCCCAUGUAAAAGAGGGUGUGAGUCUGUGAGAUUCCUCUUUUGCCCCCAC
rnacentral:lncRNA from 10 species